rnacentral:snRNA from 1 species
AGCUUUGCAGAGUGGUGGUAUCAUAGUCAAUGAGCUUUAUCCAAGGUGUGAUUAUUGCUUCUUGAAAACCU